GGAGGGAGAGAAAGAGAAACUAUCCCAAACCCUAAAAAUGAAAAUCUGUCAUGUCAAAGAUUUAUAUUGCAGAGUGCCUCUGUAGUAUUUGGGAACCCAAACUCAUCUCUCUCAUCUUUUAGUUAUACAGCAGUGAUGACCGAUCUUAACCAAAACAAAUGUA